GGGCCUGUAGCUCAGGGGAGAAUAGAGCACGUGACUACGAACCAUGAUGUCGGGGGUUCGAAUCCCCUCAGGCCCAC
rnacentral:tRNA from 1 species